CUUUGUUUGGUUAUCUGGCUUGGCUGCAUCGACUUCAAGUGCAGAUGUGCAGCUUCCUUUGCCCCUUGGUGCUGACAAUGAUCCCAGGCAUCCUGGCCUCUGCUACUCCGGUGCCUCCCUGGGGAAGGAAAUCAGUUUUUUUUCACAGUUUUUCUUGCUCCAUUUCAGGACUGAGUGCCUUUAUACCAGCUGGUUAACCCACGUUGUAAGCAGAGUAUGUUUCCUCCCAAAGGAGCAGACUUUCCAGCACCCAAGGCCUUCAACGCUGAGAAUCUUCAUCCUUAAGUUUGUUUGCUGUGGAAGAAGACCCCUACUGGUCUCCCCAGGUAUUGCAGCCCUCCUCUACCAGCCACUGCAAAUGCCCACCAGAAAGUGAGAGAGGGUCUCCAUUCGUGUUCAUGACGUUCAGGGUGAAGCCAGUGGAUUCCCAAGUAUGCGGAAUAUGCAUGUGGCUUAACAGCCUGAAAUAAACAGAUUGUGCUGAAAUUCUAAUCCUGGAGU
rnacentral:lncRNA from 1 species